rnacentral:tRNA from 1 species
UUUUAGGGAGACCUACACCCCUCAAAUAUUGAAAGCAAACAGCUUUCUAAAUAUUGAGAUGGUCAAACCUAGGUCGGUCGCAGAGAUUUGGUUGUUAGCUUUCAAACUAUGAUUUGGUUCAAUUAUGGGCUAUUAGCUCAGGUGGUUAGAGCGCACCCCUGAUAAGGGUGAGGUCCCUGGUUCGAGUCCAGGAUGGCCCACCUGAAAGUAAUUGGUAAUUGCUAAUUCGUAAUUCGUAAUUAACUACGAGUUAAGAAUUACGAAUUACGAAUUAUUUCUGGGGGUUUAGCUCAGUUGGUAGAGCGCCUGCUUUGCAAGCAGGAUGUCAGCGGUUCGAGUCCGCUAACCUCCACCUUGUAGCGUCAGCUAUAAAUGUAGGGAUUAAAUUCAGCAACAUGGCUAUAGCCAGACUGCUGGAUAGUUAUCCAGCCAGAACCUUGAAAACUGCAUAGGAAUGCGAUUUAAGCAGGCAGACACAGACAUUGGAUGUGUAUGCAAUUGAAGCUGAAUUGAAUAGU